UUUUUUGUGUUUUAAACAUUAUUUGUUCCAAAUGUAUUUGCCUUGCCCUUAAACUAAACCAAUGCACUUUGAAUUAAGCAAACAUUUAUAUUUACUUUUUGUUUACAUCUGUGGUAUUUUUGUGUGUCUUUGGUCUUCUGUGCAGCGUUCAUCACCUGCCCCUGUGACUGCUACAUCAUCCUCAUCAUCCUCACCUGUGAGGAAAAGUUCAUCACCUGCUCCUGUGACUGCUACAUCAUCCUCAUCACCUGUGAGGAAAAGAUCAUCACCUGCUCCUGUGACUGCUACAUCAUCCUCAUCCUCACCUGUGAGGAAAAGUUAAUCAAGAAAAAGACAGCAGGAGAGGUUUCAGUCAAGAUUGGCCAAACUACGGGAACAUCAUAACUGCUCCAAGCGCUUCAAUAGAGCAGAAAUAAAAUUAAAAAACAACCCAACAAAAAAGACUGCCAUACAUGAGGAUUGCGUUGUAUUACAGUCAUCAGAUGCACCCUGUGCUAUGUCUACCUCUGUAAAGGCAUCACCACCCUCUCGCCCUUCUCCACUCCCCUCAUCAUCAUCAUCAGCUGCCCCUGUAAUGGCAACAUCCUCUUCAUCCUCUCCAUCAUCACCUGCCCCUUUUCCCUGUGAUGCAUCCACUUCUGUGAUCUCCCCAUCACAGGUGUCCCAGACACUCUCAAUAAGGGAGGUGUGUAAAUAAAAUUAGUAAAGGAUCUGUGGUAACACUUUCUAUG